UUGAACGCUGGCGGCAGGCCUAACACAUGCAAGUCGAACGGUAACAGGAAGCAGCUUGCUGCUUUGCUGACGAGUGGCGGACGGGUGAGUAAUGUCUGGGAAACUGCCUGAUGGAGGGGGAUAACUACUGGAAACGGUAGCUAAUACCGCAUAACGUCGCAAGACCAAAGAGGGGGACCUUCGGGCCUCUUGCCAUCGGAUGUGCCCAGAUGGGAUUAGCUAGUAGGUGGGGUAACGGCUCACCUAGGCGACGAUCCCUAGCUGGUCUGAGAGGAUGACCAGCCACACUGGAACUGAGACACGGUCCAGACUCCUACGGGAGGCAGCAGUGGGGAAUAUUGCACAAUGGGCGCAAGCCUGAUGCAGCCAUGCCGCGUGUAUGAAGAAGGCCUUCGGGUUGUAAAGUACUUUCAGCGGGGAGGAAGGGAGUAAAGUUAAUACCUUUGCUCAUUGACGUUACCCGCAGAAGAAGCACCGGCUAACUCCGUGCCAGCAGCCGCGGUAAUACGGAGGGUGCAAGCGUUAAUCGGAAUUACUGGGCGUAAAGCGCACGCAGGCGGUUUGUUAAGUCAGAUGUGAAAUCCCCGGGCUCAACCUGGGAACUGCAUCUGAUACUGGCAAGCUUGAGUCUCGUAGAGGGGGGUAGAAUUCCAGGUGUAGCGGUGAAAUGCGUAGAGAUCUGGAGGAAUACCGGUGGCGAAGGCGGCCCCCUGGACGAAGACUGACGCUCAGGUGCGAAAGCGUGGGGAGCAAACAGGAUUAGAUACCCUGGUAGUCCACGCCGUAAACGAUGUCGACUUGGAGGUUGUGCCCUUGAGGCGUGGCUUCCGGAGCUAACGCGUUAAGUCGACCGCCUGGGGAGUACGGCCGCAAGGUUAAAACUCAAAUGAAUUGACGGGGGCCCGCACAAGCGGUGGGGCAUGUGGUUUAAUUCGAUGCAACGCGAAGAACCUUACCUGGUCUUGACAUCCACGGAAGUUUUCAGAGAUGAGAAUGUGCCUUCGGGAACCGUGAGACAGGUGCUGCAUGGCUGUCGUCAGCUCGUGUUGUGAAAUGUUGGGUUAAGUCCCGCAACGAGCGCAACCCUUAUCCUUUGUUGCCAGCGGUCCGGCCGGGAACUCAAAGGAGACUGCCAGUGAUAAACUGGAGGAAGGUGGGGAUGACGUCAAGUCAUCAUGGCCCUUACGACCAGGGCUACACACGUGCUACAAUGGCGCAUACAAAGAGAAGCGACCUCGCGAGAGCAAGCGGACCUCAUAAAGUGCGUCGUAGUCCGGAUUGGAGUCUGCAACUCGACUCCAUGAAGUCGGAAUCGCUAGUAAUCGUGGAUCAGAAUGCCACGGUGAAUACGUUCCCGGGCCUUGUACACACCGCCCGUCACACCAUGGGAGUGGGUUGCAAAAGAAGUAGGUAGCUUAACCUUCGGGAGGGCGCUUACCACUUUGUGAUUCAUGACUGGGGUG
rnacentral:rRNA from 1 species